UGGGGAAUAUUGCACAAUGGGCGCAAGCCUGAUGCAGCCAUGCCGCGUGUAUGAAGAAGGCCUUCGGGUUGUAAAGUACUUUCAGUCGGGAGGAAGGUGGUAAGGUUAAUAACCUUGGCAAUUGACGUUACCGACAGAAGAAGCACCGGCUAACUCCGUGCCAGCAGCCGCGGUAAUACGGAGGGUGCAAGCGUUAAUCGGAAUUACUGGGCGUAAAGCGCACGCAGGCGGUUGAUUGAGUCAGAUGUGAAAUCCCCGGGCUUAACCCGGGAAUUGCAUCUGAUACUGGUCAGCUAGAGUCUUGUAGAGGGGGGUAGAAUUCCAUGUGUAGCGGUGAAAUGCGUAGAGAUGUGGAGGAAUACCGGUGGCGAAGGCGGCCCCGUGGACAAAGACUGACGCUCAGGUGCGAAAGCGUGGGGAGCAAACAGG
rnacentral:rRNA from 1 species